AUGAACUUUACGGACACUUGUAAAGUAAAUGACACGGAGAAGCCCAAGCAGAACACGCUGGAAUGGCAGGGUCUGGGAAGAGGCGGCAGCACCGUGUCGGGCAGUGAAGGUGGCAAGAGAAAGCCCCUUAAAUAUCCUAAGAAGCAGGCCAGCAGCAUGGAUGAGGAAGAUGGCAUUCAAACAGAAACAAAAAGAGGAGCAGAAGAAACUCAAGGAGCUGAAAGUGAAGGCUGCAGGGAAGGGGCCCCUGGCCACAGGUGGAAUGAAGAAAUCUGGCAAACAGUAAGCUGUUCCUUGUGCCUGAGACGAUGGUGCCUCAAACUCCUGGCCUCAAGCAAUCCUCCCAGCUUCUGAGAGUGAUAGGAUUACAGGCUGGUACCAUAACCACUGUGGAGGGAUUACUAUAUCUUUUGCCAUUUAUGGCUAAAAUGAAAUGUUGUCUUGGAGACUACUGUGCAUUUUAGAUAAACUUUUGUAAAAAAAAAUAAGACGAAAAAGAAAAAAGAUGCUCUUGUUUAAUAAUUAGGCCUUCCGACUCUAUCCUUUUGUCCUCUUCCACGCUCACUCAGGAGGGGAGAAGGAUG